rnacentral:misc_RNA from 1 species
GAACUGCGAUAAGUAAUGUGAAUUGCAGAAUUCAGUGAAUCAUCGAGUCUUUGAACGCACAUUGCGCCCCCUGGCAUUCCGGGGGGCAUGCCUGUCCGAGCGUCAUUGCUGCUAUCAAGCCCGGCUUGUGUGUUGGGUCGUCGUCCCCCCCGGGGGACGGGCCCGAAAGGCAGCGGCGGCACCGUGUCCGGUCCUCGAGCGUAUGGGGCUUUGUCACCCGCUCGAUUAGGGCCGGCCGGGCGCCAGCCGGCGUCUCCAACCUUAUUUUUCUCAGGUUGACCUCGGAUCAGGUAGGGAUACCCGCUGAACUUAAGC